rnacentral:pre_miRNA from 11 species
UUUUAAUGUAGAUCCUCUGAAAGACCCCCAGAGUGGGGAGACCCUCACUCAAGUCUCGGGAUAAGCCAACACCCCAAUAAUUCAAGAGAGACC